UACAGAGGGUGCGAGCGUUAAUCGGAAUUACUGGGCGUAAAGGGCGCGUAGGCGGUUAAUUAAGUUAGAUGUGAAAUCCCUGGGCUUAACCUAGGAACUGCAUUUAAUACUGGUUGACUGGAGUGCUGUAGAGGGUAGUGGAAUUUCCGGUGUAGCGGUGAAAUGCGUAGAUAUCGGAAGGAACACCAGUGGCGAAGGCGGCUACCUGGACAGUUCCUGACGCUGAGGCACGAAGGUCAGGGGAGCAAACGGG
rnacentral:rRNA from 1 species